rnacentral:tRNA from 1 species
GGUAUAGCUCAGUGGUCGAGUGCAUGCCUCUAGCAUGCAUGAGAUCCUGGGUUCAAUCCCCAGAACCU